UGCAGCAAAGCAAGCGUCCCCUGCACCGCGGCGCUGGCGACACGUGAACUCGCUCAGCGGAGCCCGAGCGCCCCGGCGGCACGAGGCAGCCGCACGGGGCAGAGGGUUUCCAAACAAACCGUCGGCGACCAGAAAACAGCUCGGAGCAGAUCGCUCGCAGUAAAUCUCCACAUGACGCCGAGGCUGGGUUCGUCUUACACAGAGCUAAGAGUAGACAGAGAAAUGCCGAGGACAGAUGGCAGCGCCGUUCCCAGGGAUAUGGCCAUAGAUGAGCGUGUGCCGUUGCUGACUACUGUAUAUGUCCUUGCCUCGCUCAGCAGCGUACGUAACUGGUGCAUAUAUCCUAUUCUCCACAACAGCUUCUGAGUGGACAAUCCAUACAAACCAGGAAACCUGACUCAAUAUUAGGCAUCUGUGAAGCUGAUCAUAGAGAACAUAUCAUCACGCACAUAAAAUGAACAACACAAAAUCUAGAGUAUAUAUUCUUUCUCUGAUAUCAUUCGGUUACAAUUCUUUUUGGGGUAUCUGCAGCAACAGGAUCAAAAAAAAUUUCAGAGAGUAGAGUGACUUACCAAAAAUAUAUCUCCAUACAGAUUACAUGUGAAUAAAACUUGCAUUUUUCUAUACUAUUUAUGGACA
rnacentral:lncRNA from 1 species